rnacentral:pre_miRNA from 1 species
UUAACUCUUUGUAUGGAGUUCGAUGUUUGCGUCCGUUUGCCGCUAGGGGCGCUGUUCCAACUGCAUACAAAUUCGAGUUA